rnacentral:rRNA from 1 species
CCUACGGGAGGCAGCAGUGGGGAAUAUUGGGCAAUGGGCGCAAGCCUGACCCAGCAACGCCGCGUGAAGGAAGAAGGCUCUCGGGUUGUAAACUUCUUUUAAGAGGGAAGUGCAGAAGACGGUACCUCUUGAAUAAGCCAUGGCUAACUACGUGCCAGCAGCGGCGGCAAUACGUAGGUGGCAAGUGUUGUCCGGAUUUACUGGGUGUAAAGGGCGUGCAGCCGGGAAGACAAGUCAGAUGUGAAAUCCCGCGGCGCAAGGGCGGAACUGCAUUUGAAACUGUUUUUCUUGAGUACCGAAGAGGUGAGCGGAAUGCGUUGUGUAGCGGUGAAAUGCGUAGAUAUAAGACAGAACACCGGUUGCGAAGGCGGAUGACUGGACGGCAACUGACGGUGAGGCGCGAAAGCGUGGGGAGCAAACAGGAUUAGAUACCCUGAUAGUC